ensembl:lncRNA
CUCGGGGCUGCUUGGAGUGUGUGUGAAAAUGGGCUUGCUUCUGGAUUUUGUGCCAUUUGCUCCCCUGCUUCCUCACAUCUCUGGAGUGCUGGGCUGGCUAAAUGUGUUUGGUUGCAGUUAGCUGUGCUGUGCCCUGCAUCAGCCUCCAGAGAGCCUGUGUCACAGGACAGGAGACCUUUCAGCUGGAGAAGUCAGCCACUGUUCAAGCUUGACCCAGAUUCUGAGGCUUUCAUCUGGAGAGCUUCCUCACUGAUUUUCAGUCUUGGCUGUGUGAGUUUGUCUCCAGACCAGUCUGGGAAUGUAAGAGCUGGGGAAUCAUCUGACUCUUGCUGGAAGCAAGAGCACCCACUGGGAGCUGUUCUACCAGAUGCUGGUGAGGACAAAGAUGUUGGGAGGAUGUUGAAGAGGAAAAGAAUGAUGACAAUGAAUGAUGACCUGCAGCUGUUGGUUAACCAAUCUCAUUUGGAAAGAAGGCCCAUAGCAAGAGGAUCCUGUUAAUAACUCCAGUGUCUGGAUGCUGGCAGGACUGGGGUUUGCAUGAGUGGUGAAAUGGUGAAAUCAUGCCUAAACUCUGUUCCGAAGCUGGGGAGGCAGAGGUAUUGUGAAGCUUUUGUUCCCCGUGAAGUUUUGGAUAUGUUUGCCAGCAGAAAUCAAAUGUGAGCAUUUCCAAUUGUUGGGUGAAAGGUCCUUAAGUGAAACUAUUGCUCACUAAAGUGAAAAAUUUGCCUGUUCCCUCUAAAAUUGCCAUCUUGUUUCCAGACCUAUAAGGUGCAUGUCCUAGGAAUAGAAUAAAAUGUAAGUUGACCACA